GCCUGGAUAGCUCAGUUGGUGGAGCAUCAGACUUAUAAUCUGAGGCUCUAGGGUUGCAGUCCCUGUUAAGGUU
rnacentral:tRNA from 1 species